GGGAUAGUAGGGUAGCCUGGACGAUCCUCGGGCCUUUGGGAGGCUCUGACCGCGGUUCAAAUCCGCGCUAUCCCAC
rnacentral:tRNA from 2 species